CGCAGCUUGAGGGGAGAGAAGCUUCCACCGAGAGAGAGAGAGAGAGCGAGCCGAGGAAUCCACGCUGCGCUGCGUGACUCUGCGGGUUCAAGCACGCGCUCAUGGGAUAAAAACCUCCCGCUCACAUUUGAGCACUUCCUCUCUCUCUCUGUGUGUGUGUGUGUGUGUGUGUGGCGCGCGCGCCGACCGUGUGCCUUCGCAUGUGUUUUCUGCGAGGACUGAGAAAUGAUUUUGCAGCGCGAGCGCGAACGAAACCUCCCCACGCCUCUGUGAUCCUCAUCCACGCGCGGCGGUGAUCUGACGUGGAUCCGUUUGGACGUUGACAAACUUUUGCGCGAGCGCGUGUGAGUGUUUUUUUUUUUUUUUCUUCAAUUGUUGUUGUUUACUUGGAGCCUGAGCAUCCAGGACGACAUGGAGGGCGAGAAGUACUUGCAGGAGCUCGUGGCAGAGAAGGACACGCUAGAUCCGCAUUUUCAGCACUCGCAGAGACUCCUGGACCAAGAGAUCGAAAAAGUCCAGAAAGACGACGACAAAGAGGAGGAGAAGUUCAUCGACGUCGUCAUCAACAAGAACAUGAAACUGGGCCAGAAAGUUUUAAUACCAGUCAAGCAGUUUCCUAAAUUCAACUUUGUCGGCAAACUCCUCGGGCCGCGUGGGAACUCGUUAAAGAGACUACAGGAGGACACUCUCACCAAGAUGUCAAUUCUGGGAAAAGGAUCCAUGAGAGACAAAGAAAAGGAAGAAGAGCUACGGCAGAGCGGCGAGGCCAAAUAUCACCACCUGAACGAGGACCUGCACGUCCUCAUUGAAGUGUUCGCCCCCCCGGCUGAGGCCUACGCCAGGAUGGGUCACGCUCUGGAGGAGAUCAAGAAGUUCCUCAUACCAGAUUACAACGAUGAGAUCAGACAGGCCCAGCUGCAGGAGCUCACGUACCUGAAUGGAGGCUCGGAGGACGCCAAGGUGCCAUCAGUGAGGGGCAAGUCAGUCACCCGUACAAGAGGGACACCUGUUCCUGGGCCUCCCAGGAGUCGAGGAGGAGUUCCUUCCCUGCACGCAGCAGUGCCACGAGGAGCAGCCCCCAGAGGAGCCCCACUCAGCCGGCCUCCGUCCUCCAGAGGGAGGGGGGUGCAGAGAGCCAGAGGUGCCCCACCAGCUGCAGGGUACCGGCCAGCUCCUCCCCUUGUCCAGGACACAUAUGGAGAAUAUGAAUACGACGACGGCUACGGAACAGCGUACGACGACCAAGGAUACGAGUCGUAUGACAACAACAACAACAACAACUACAGUAAUCAAGGACAAAACUCAGACGACUACUAUGAAUACGGACACAGUGGAGAAUCAUACGACGCAUAUGGUCAGGAGGAGUGGGCAAACAGUCGCGGCAAAGCACCGUCGGCACGGACGACCAAGGCGGCGUACAGGGAUCAGCCGUACUCCAGAUAUUGAACUGUUUAUACAACCUGCACAACCUGAGUCCCCCCCCCUCGUGGCGGUUUCAACCCAAGAUGAUAUCGCAGCUAAACUGGGCCAUGUGACCGAGGACCGCACUGGCGUAGAAGGCUCGAUGAACGACACACACCCCUCCGAACAUUCAAGCCCGUACAACGUCAAAGUGAAUCCACAAAAAAACGAGGCCCAUCAUCCAUUUUCAGACUUUCAGGUUCUCUGAACCCUGCUGGGUUUGGACGACACAUACAUCGCAAUAUACAUCUUCAGUUUUUUUCUCCUGAAGAAAUGGCCGGAAAGAGGAAAAGCACACGAGGCAAAUGGAGUUCCUCGUCCUCUGGGAGGGUCUGUCGGAGAACAUUUAUUUGAAAUGCCUCUAUAUACAUUUUACACACACACACACACACAGGAGAUUGUGUCUCUUUAUUCAGACUACCUCUUAUAUUAGACAUUAACUGUAGCCUGUAAUGGAAGAGGAGUGAAUAAAUGAUGAAAUAUGGUAAAGGUAGUGACACAUUAACCGAUAUAGAAUCCACUUCAGUUCAUUUGUCAUUCACCAUGUGCCUUAAAGUUGCAUUGUAAUGACAGGUUUGAAUGUUUAUGUCUGCGCGGUGGAGUUCAAAUCUGGAGCAGUUACACAAGCUGUUUAUUCCUCUUUCCUUUGAUGCUGCCGCGCGGCCACCGACAAAAAGCUUAUUCCAGAUGUAUCGCUUAAUCAGAAACGACUUCAGUGGAUAUUACAAUUCCAAAAUAGCUUUUCCUAUCGGAUAGAGAGCUUCCCGCGUCGGAUAGGCCGAGCCGCGUAUCCCACACCGUCACAUGUCCUUAGUGGCAGACAAUGGUUUUCCAUUAGAGGGGAGUGAUUCUCUCUGGAGCCUCAGGCCAAGCCUCAGACAAUAACAUGGCAGCCCCGGAGCUCGCCGAGUUGACUCUCAACGCCCUCGGGGGCUGAUUCUCCCUCUGAAGUGGCUUAUAACGACAGGCUUAUCUGAGCCAUGCUUGUCCGAGUUAAUAAAGCAAGAGCGGCUUAUUUGAUUAAGAAUGCAUACAAAGGGAGGACGUAGUAGUCGUCUGUCACCACGAGACAACUCCAUUUCAACACUCGACUUCAGAGAGAGCGCGAGGGACUUUACGUUUAACCAGGAAUAAAAUAAUAAGAAAUAACGUUACGUUCAGUGCCAAGUAGGGCUGUCAAUCUUCCCCUAUAAUCGAAUUCCAGUUCCAUUCCUUAUUAUUUUUAAUAUUUGAAUUACAUUCAAGUUUUUAAUUUGAAAUUUGAAUACAUUGAACAAGCAGGGACACUGGCGGCCUGCAGGUGCCUCUCGCCGGUGUUAAUAGAAUUAGCCACGUUGUCUGUGGUGAUGAUGAGGAACUCUGACUCACGCUCUACUCUCCCGAGUUUGUCGCCGCUGCAUGUGGCAACGUGUUCGGCCGUGUUGAGAAUUCUAUCUUUCAGCUCCCACUCCACGGCUAAGAUCCGUGUGCCUCGGCUCAAGCUCUUGGAUGAGGUCUCUGGGAGAUGUUCAUCGGUCUCAUGUCUUUGUAAAUAAAGCGCACCGGUUUGUCUGUGACAGCAUUCUGACGAGCAGCUGUGAACCCCGCGUGAGAUUGUUGUGAUUCACAAAACUUUAUUGUUCCGUGAGGGUCGUACGUGACCACAGGAGGUAUUAGAAAGAGGGCGGGGCUUCCGUCGCCACGCUUUAACACGUGUAUAAAGAAAUAGUCAUUACAGCAUUUGAUUAUUAUUGAUUUUUCUAAUAUUUGAAUAACAUUUGACUACAAUACAUACGUUUUAACAACUUUGAAUAUUUCAAAUGUGAAAAACUGCUUUAAAAUAUGGUGCAGUCUCCAUGCAUCAGUGAGAGCUUUUAAAUGAAGAUGCAAUGAGAGUUAAGCAUAUUUUGGUCGACUCAUAUCAUAAUUGUUUUCUGGUUUUUAUUUUAAAGUGGAUUUGUGUUUCUCUUCCUGAUUCAUGCUCAGGAUUGUUCUGUAAUUAACUGGAGCGCUCUAAGUCUUAAUACUGAGAUUAAAACAGCUUCAGAUUGUGUGACCCCUCCUUAGUGGAGCGCUCACAUUGUGACGGAUGGAUUAUUGCAGGACUGUGAGUGAACUAUGGUGAAUAUUGUAAUAGCAAUAACACUGAAACGAUGUUCCAUCGCCGCUGUGUCGCUGACCGAUGGACAUCAAAUAAAAUACAAGCACGUGGCCACAGCAGGUGCACAUACGGGGAACAACAACAUCUGCACAGUGUCUGUCCGUCAAUACGUCCCAUACACUGUUAUGUGUUCAACUCACUGACUCUGUAAGUAAAUACAUGUCUGUGUAAUAAAGUCUGGUCAAAAAUAAAAGUGAGAACGUG